AGUGAUUGGCAUUCUGCGUGGUGAACAGCAGGACCUAGACUGACCUUUGGCAUUGGGGUAACAGUGGCUGAUGCUACUGGUGGAGGAACCACACCUUGAGAAGCACUGAUCUAGGCACCUUCCACUCCUCUCAGUCUAUAGAUGGGAAAAUGGAAACUCGGAGAGGUUGGUGCUUACCCCACGUCUCAAGUUUCCUGCUCCUGGAGAAGCAAGACACCAGGAGAUUAUGGGGUUUCCCUCUCAGUAGCUGGAUCUUUCUGAAAGUGUUUUUCUUUGAAGGCAACAUAACUAGGAAGAAAUAAAUGGCUUCGGGCAUGCUGGACUUGCGAACACAAAUUUAUGAAGUGACAGCUAGUGUCAUGAUGCUCCUGCCUCAAGAUGACCUCCCAACCCAGAGCCCGGCUGCUUGGGUGAAACAUUUUCCCCUCCCUGAAUUGUCUUGCAAAAUGUAAACACACAUUGUCACUCCGAAGGAGUUAGUUUAUCAGAUUUCUUCCCUUGGUGAUAGGAGGGAUCUAGGGCAGGCUGAGCAGGGAGGUGAGGUGGAGGAUGACAGAAGC
rnacentral:lncRNA from 10 species